rnacentral:rRNA from 1 species
AACGAACGCUGGCGGCAUGCCUAACACAUGCAAGUCGAACGAGACCUUCGGGUCUAGUGGCGCACGGGUGCGUAACGCGUGGGAACCUGCCCUUGGGUUCGGAAUAACUCCCCGAAAGGGGUGCUAAUACCGGAUAAUGUCUUCGGACCAAAGAUUUAUCGCCUUUGGAUGGGCCCGGGUUGGAUUAGCUAGUUGGUAGGGUAAAAGCCUACCAAGGCGACGAUCCAUAGCUGGUCUGAGAGGAUGAUCAGCCACACUGGGACUGAGACACGGCCCAGACUCCUACGGGAGGCAGCAGUGGGGAAUAUUGGACAAUGGGCGAAAGCCUGAUCCAGCAAUGCCGCGUGAGUGAUGAAGGCCUUAGGGUUGUAAAGCUCUUUUACCCGGGAUGAUAAUGACAGUACCGGGAGAAUAAGCUCCGGCUAACUCCGUG